CCCUACAGUGAUAGGAAAUUCAUUUGUUUCAAAAAAACAACAAAUAUAAUAAUGUCUCUAAAACUGAAUAGGAAAAAUUCUUCGUUCGAAAUCACAUCCAUAUCUUAUGUAUUGUGUUUGUGCACAUCAUGGGGUUCUUGUUGGUUUUUGAUUUACUUGCCACUUACUUUUUGGUGGAAGGAUAGCAAACUAGAGUGUCAUUUCUAGAAUGUUUUGCUUCUAACAUUAGCAGUAUAUUGUGCACAUCAUGGGGUUCUUGUUGCUUUUUGAUUUACUUGCCACUUACUUUUUUGUGGAAGAAUAGCAAACGAGUGUCGUUUCUAGAAUGUUUUGCUUCUAACAUUAGCAGUAUAUUAUGAUCUGCUUCUACUCAAGUUUGGCUCAGCUGCAAAAGGUACAGUCAGAACCUGGAAACCAAUAGUCAUUAGAAAUAUGGAAUCCAUCCACUUUCAGCUUGAAUAAAUGCAUCGAGAUUCGAGGUUUGUACAUAGCACAACAUACAUGCACUUUCAUUGGCAUCUUUUCUUAGUUCGGUAAGAUUUUAGUUAAUCAUAUGGGCUGUAAUUGUCCUGUAACCACAUUCGGUUAUCUUUUUUACAGUGUUUUGCUUGCUAUUCAACCACCUCAUCAGCCAGUUUGAGCUCCCCUUUUUGAUACUUAGCCCUCCCUCCCUCUCAUGAAGUAAGAACCCCCAGUUGCAAUCUGAAUUCUUAGAGUCAGUGUUGGUCCACAAUCAAAAAAGAUUUCUCAUAGGAUAUUCAAUGAAAAGGGUUUGGGUCUGAAUUCUUACAAUUAGUGGAGGUGUACACUCUAGCCGCCAAUGUGACUUGAGAUUUCAUGAAAAGACUCAGAAAUUUAAUGAUAUUUUUUGCAGAGUUUAAUUUAACUGGCAGAGGGGUAAAAACCAAGACUAGAGCUUUCUAAUCCUCUUGAUGAAGAUAAUGAAGAAAUGCAAUGGUGCAAGGAAGAAGCUAUUAAGAUGACAAAGGAAUGCCAUCUACAUAAGGUGGUUUGUGUUAACAAUGGUGAUGAUCUUAGGCGGUCUAGUAUUAACAUAUUAACUAGAUAAAUCAAGUUGGAAAUUGGCAAUUUUAUUUGUGAUUUGGUUGAGGCUAUGGAGGGUUCCUAGACGGCACGACUUAUACAGGCCGGCUAAAAACAAUUGGAUUAACAGGUACAUUGUACUUUCUACUCAGUCAACUGGAAUUUGGUUUUAUGUGUCCUGUUGAUUAAUCCAUUCUAGGGAUCAGCUCUGACUAAAGCCAAAUUGUAUGGUAUACAUUCUUUAAAAGUUGGUAUUUUUUUUUUUUUUUUUGAACAUGGGAGAUUGUAGAUUGGGUCAUAGGAUCUUACCUGUGAUAAGACCAUCGACCUCUUAGUGAAGUGAAGAGAUUUUGGCUAGUUGGGUUAGACUCGGCAUUAAAAGUGUAUAAGAAGAACAAUUAGAUCCCAAAGUGGGCUUAUUUAUGAAUCAAAGUGUUAAUGGUUAGGACUUAAAGUAAAGGUUAAAUCAAAGUGAGUUUGUCUUGGUUAGGAAGCAAAGUGGUGUUGUUGGUUACGAGGUAAAAUGGUGAUUUUGAUUAUAAGUUAAAUUGACUACAAUCGACAGUUCAAAUUCAUUUUUUAUAUCCAACUGCUAAAAGUUGAAAUGUAUAGUAUGAACUUUUGAAGGAUGUAUUAUAGUCAGUCUUUCCCAAACAAAAGAUUCCCAAGAGCCAAAAUUUUGUUAUUAUAUGAAGUCAACCUUGAUUGCAAACAUUAGUUUUGCAGUCCUCGUUAGAUACUUUAUUUUUAUGUUUUUAUACACAACUACAAUUCCCCAUAAAAGAAAACAAAGGGUAAAUUACACUCAUUUCCUCGAGAUUUAAAGAAAAUACAGUUAGUUUCAUACUUUUGACAUUAUUAUACUGACCUCCCUUUUAUUAUGAUGACAGUGACCAAAAUUAGUGCCAAUAAUUGGUAGAUCCUGAAAUAUAUAAAGAUAACGGUCCUGCUGGAGACCCCCAGCAGGAGAGACCCCCAGCACCCCCACCUCCACGUGAGGGGCUGGUAAUGGCCGAAAAUCAAAAAAAAAAAAAAAAAAA